rnacentral:rRNA from 1 species
UACGUAUGGUGCAAGCGUUAUCCGGAUUUACUGGGUGUAAAGGGGGCGCAGACGGCGAUGCAAGCCAGGAGUGAAAGCCCGGGGCCCAACCCCGGGACUGCUCUUGGAACUGCGUGGCUGGAGUGCAGGGGGGGCAGGCGGAAUUCCUGGUGUAGCGGUGAAAUGCGUAGACAUCAGGAGGAACACCGGUGGCGAAGGCGGCCUGCUGGACUGCAACUGACGUUGAGGCCCGAAAGCGUGGGGAGCAAACAGG